AGUGAGGAUAUGGGUGCUAAUGUACUUGGUGAUCACAGUAUGAAUCAUUUGGUUGCUAGUCAAGGGGUUCAGUCCCCUGUUGGACGGAAAAACCAUCCAUUGAUCUAAAAAUUCUGCUUGGUCAUCUGAGGAUCUAUAUCCUGGACUUUCUGGUGAUCUAGCUUCCUAUAGUAUUGCUGGAAGUCAGGAAGGUUUGAGCUCAUUGUCUGAUUUUUGUGGGGAUAUUGUUGCAAACAUGCGCAGUUUGAGUUAUGGCCGGUGUUGCUAUGAUUGUGUCCUUAGUGCAUCUGUUCCUCCAAUUUCUUCACCUUUGGUUUCUCAGUUUCAGAGCAAGAACUCAUGGCAUGUAGUACACAAUUCGGUGCAAUUUAGGCCAAAUGGAAUUUCCCCAAUGAAUGGUAACGGUGUUGUCCCACGAAAAGCCUACUACCCUAUGAACCCACCAGUUUUACAUGGUUCUGGCUUUGGAAUGGAAGAUAUGCCAAAGCCUCGAGGAACAGGGACAUACUUCCCCAAUCCCAGCAGAAGUCUUACAAGGAUAGGUCCUUGACACCAUGGGGAAGGAACCCAGCACCAGCAAGAUCUCACAACAAUGGCCACGCCGUUACACCCCCAGAGCCAAAUUCACCAGAGAGAUGGAGCCCUGAGCUGGCACAAAUACAGACUGUGAAUCAGGGUUUUGGAAAAUCCGGGUCUUCUGAACUCAGUCUUGAUCUGAAAAAGUAUUAUCCCUAAAGCCAACGACUCAUUGCAUCAGCCAGAUAGGCUUGUAGAAUUUGGGUCAAUUGGGGCCUUACCCUUGGUGCCAGCCUCUACAGAAAGUAGCCAGCAGCAUAAUCCAGGUUCUCCUUAUGCUCUAAACUCGACUUCUUGUUGGCAACAAUUAGGAAAUCAAAGACUAAGCUCAACUGCGAGCAUGGAUCAAGACAGGAUACUUUUACAGUCAUUCCAAUAUAAAAAACGAAGAAGAUUUCCCACCUUUAUCCAUUUGAAAACAGCACAGAGAAAAGGAUGGAUCUUAAUUUAUAGACAGU